UGAAAUGCUCUAGUGAUGAACUCUCUUCUCAAUUGAGCAUUGAAAGCAAUGAAAAAUUAGUGUAUUCUACAAUUUCAUUAAUUUUUAUUUCAGGUGGCGUAAGUGGUAGCAUGUUCGGAAGGUAUCCUCCUUCACACACGUUUUCAUCUUUAACAGCCUUUCCUCCGUCUCCGCUUCAUGAUCCUUGGGCUAGGUUGCAAACUAGAGCAGUGCCUGGCGCUUACCCAGGCGGCACGCCACCGACACCAUGGACGAUCAAACCCGAUCCAGCGGAGCUCGAGCGAGAGCAGCGUGAGCGAAAGGAACGAGAGCAGAGCAAAGAGCGGGAACGGAUGAAACGAGAAGAGAAGCAGCGCCGGCUUUUAAUUCACCAACAGCAACAGCAGCAACAACAGCAGCAACACCAUGCGUCACCGUUGCACCACCACACGACUCCGUCACCAAAGAUGGUCAGAGACCGGAGUCCGCUCAGGGAAUCAAUGCCUGUCGUAGUGCCCAAAGAAGAAGAGGUCGUUCUGCUCGGCAGACCGCCUCCACACUUCCUACCGCCACGACAAACUCCACGUACGCUUCCUUCACAUUUCACACCGUGGGAAAACCCCUACAGGUACGAUCCAAUGAGAUUCACCCCACUAAUGGCUGCUUAUCGAGCUGACGAAGAGUCGAAACUCUAUGGUGCUUACCCUCCUGCUCCUCACUUGAGGAAGGACCCUUCGCCGACUCUGCGACCUCUACCUCCGAACACGGACCACCUGAAGAAAGAAGACACCUCGCAAUCACGAUGA
rnacentral:lncRNA from 1 species